AAUGAACGUUGGCGGCGUGGAUUAGGCAUGCAAGUCGUACGGGCCGCAAGGCCAGUGGCGCAAGGGUGAGUAAGGCGACGGCAACCAACCCCAUGGUUGGGUAUAGCCGCGGGAAACCGCGGGUAAUCCCCAGCGACGCACGAGACCGGCAUCGGUCUUGUGCCAAAGCUCAGGCGCCGUGGGACGGGCCGUCGUGGUAUUAGGUAGUUGGCGGGGUAACGGCCCACCAAGCCGACGAUGCCUACCGGGCGUGCGAGCGUGGCCCGGCACACUGGGACUGAGACACUGCCCAGACUCCUACGGGAGGCUGCAGUCGAGAAUCUUCGGCAAUGGGCGCAAGCCUGACCGAGCGACGCCGCGUGGAGGAUGAAGGCCUUCGGUUGUAACU
rnacentral:rRNA from 1 species